rnacentral:rRNA from 1 species
GACGAACGCUGGCGGCGUGCUUAACACAUGCAAGUCGAACGGGAUCCAUGUUGUAGCAAUACUUCGGAAGAUCUAGUGGCGAACGGGUGAGGAACACGUGAGAAACCUGCCCCGAACUUCGGGAUAACAGUUGGAAACGAUUGCUAAUACCGAAUACCUCUGCGAAGUGGCAUCACUUUGCAAAGAAAGAAUUUCGGUUCGGGAGGGUCUCGCGGCCUAUCAGCUAGUUGGUGGGGUAACGGCCUACCAAGGCAUCGACGGGUAGCUGGUCUGAGAGGAUGAUCAGCCACACUGGGACUGAGACACGGCCCAGACUCCUACGGGAGGCAGCAGUGGGGAAUCUUGUGCAAUGGGCGAAAGCCUGACACAGCAACGCCGCGUGCGGGAAGAAGGCCUUCGGGUCGUAAACCGCUUUCAGCAGGAACGAAAAUGACGGUACCUGCAGAAGAAGGUGCGGCCAACUACGUGCCAGCAGCCGCAGUAA